AUUGAACGCUGGCGGCAGGCCUAACACAUGCAAGUCGAGCGGAUGACGGGAGCUUGCUCCUUGAUUCAGCGGCGGACGGGUGAGUAAUGCCUAGGAAUCUGCCUGGUAGUGGGGGACAACGUGUCGAAAGGAACGCUAAUACCGCAUACGUCCUACGGGAGAAAGCAGGGGACCUUCGGGCCUUGCGCUAUCAGAUGAGCCUAGGUCGGAUUAGCUUGUUGGUGAGGUAAUGGCUCACCAAGGCGACGAUCCGUAACUGGUCUGAGAGGAUGAUCAGUCACACUGGAACGAAGACACGGUCCAGACUCCUACGGGAGGCAGCAGUGGGGAAUAUUGGACAAUGGGCGAAAGCCUGAUCCAGCCAUGCCGCGUGUGUGAAGAAGGUCUACGGAUUGUAAAGCACUUUAAGUUGGGAGGAAGGGUUGUAGAUUAAUACUCUGCAAUUUUGACGUUACCGACAGAAUAAGCACCGGCUAACUCUGUGCCAGCCGCCCAGUAA
rnacentral:rRNA from 1 species